AUGAAGCCGCCUUUCCUCAUCCGCAGAGCUUGCUUGGUUGAAGCUGUGAAACAAGGAGAAGAUCCAAUUCCCAGAAAAUCCAGACUAGCCAAGAUAUUUUGCAAUUUGGACUGCCUGGGGAGAAAAUGGGAGGUCCGCUGCAAAAGGGGGAGAGGUAUAAUAAACAAUGAACCACAGAGAGACAAAUUGGCUGGUUGUCGGAGUCGUUGCUUUUUACUAAGGGAAUCUGGUCCAAAGUUUUUUUUAGUUUCAAAAAUGAUGCACAUUUGCCAAGACUUUUGGAGUUAACACAUCUAAGAUAAACAACGAAAUGAUUGUUUUGUUUUUCUAAGCAAAGAAGAGAACAUCUGGAAUUGAUAGUUAUGAAGUGCAUUAGAAGAAGGAGUGAACAUUAACAGCCACUUUCUGAAGCUCUGUUGGCUUGUCUUUCAGCCAAAAUGGGAAGAUGUAGGUCAGACAGACUUGGACAAAGGAAUAAUUCGCGCAUAGUUUGUAAUUGCCAUGACUUUGGACUGAGAUGAGAGCAAUUAGUACCGCCAACUUUUUCUUGAGCAGGAAACUCCCUAACUCGUUUCUCGCUGCCUCCAUUAUUUCUUAAUGAAAUCUGAAUCUCUUGAUUGCUGUCUGGGCAAGUGGCAGUUUCUCUUUCUCUGUUUCCAGGCAAUGCAGUUGCUGGAAACCAUAUAACAUGCUGUUCCCUUUAGGGCAAGGGUGGAAAAUGUUGGUCUUGCAGAUGUCAUCCCAGAAGGAAUAAUGAUGUUUUUUGGUAUCAUCCUUAUGCCUUUGACCUCAGCCACCUUUGGAACGUGGCCUUCUGUAAACUUGGGAUGAAACAGGGUGUCUCUAUACCAGGAACGGGCAAACUUGAGCCCUCCAGGUGUUUUGGACUUCAACUCCCACCAUUCCUAACAGCCUCAGGCCCCUUCCUUUCCCCCCUCAGCCGCUUAAGCGGCUGAGGGGGGAAAGUAAAGGGCCUGAGGCUGUUAGGAAUGGUGGGAGUUGAAGUCCAAAACUCCUGGAGGGUUCAAGCUUGCUCAUGCCUGCUCUACACUGUAGAAUGAAUGCAGUUGGACACCACUUGUAACAACCUUAGCUCAAUUCUAUGGAAACGGUGGAGUUGUAGUUUGACAAGAUCUUUAGUCUUCUCUGCCAAUAGUUUUCUAACUACACCUCCGAUGAUACUAGAGGAAAGAAUCAUGGCAGUUGAAGUGGUGAAUACACAACGUUUGUUACAUGCAUAAAAUUAUUCAGACUACGUGUGUAAGGUUUUUAUGAAAUAUAAAUGAGCUUCAUGCUUAGUUUAGUUCUCAACUUCAGGUUGUCUUAUUAUAUAAUAAUAGGGGCUAGGUUUAGCACAGCAAAUUAACCACAAGUUGCAAUAAAUCUUAUGAG
rnacentral:lncRNA from 1 species